GGCGCAGGCGGCUUAGUCAGUCUGAAGUGAAAGCCCGGGGCUCAACCCCGGAAUAGCUUUGGAUACUGCUGAGCUUGAGUGCGUGAGAGGAGAGUGGAAUUCCUGGUGUAGCGGUGAAAUGCGUAGAUAUCAGGAGGAACACCAAUGGCGAAAGCAGCUCUCUGGCACGUUACUGACGCUGAGGCCCGAAAGCGUGGGGAGCGAACA
rnacentral:rRNA from 1 species